rnacentral:rRNA from 1 species
CUUGAGCUUGAUCCUGGCUCAGGACGAACGCUGGCGGUAUGCCUAAUACAUGCAAGUCGAACGCUGAAGCACUCUGCUUGCAGAGUGCGGAUGAGUGGCGAACGGGUGAGUAACACGUGGGUAACCUGCCCAUAAGAGGGGGAUAACAUCCGGAAACGGGUGCUAAUACCGCAUAGGUGAACGGAGCGCAUGCUCUGUUCAUUAAAGGUGGCCUUGUGCUACCGCUUAUGGAUGGACCCGCGGCGUAUUAGCUAGUUGGUGAGGUAAUGGCUCACCAAGGCGAUGAUACGUAGCCGACCUGAGAGGGUGAUCGGCCACACUGGGACUGAGACACGGCCCAGACUCCUACGGGAGGCAGCAGUAGGGAAUCUUCCACAAUGGGCGAAAGCCUGAUGGAGCAAUACCGCGUGAGUGAAGAAGGUCUUCGGAUCGUAAAGCUCUGUUGUUAGAGAAGAACACGCAGAACAG